rnacentral:rRNA from 1 species
UACAGAGGGGGCCAGCGUUAUUCGGAAUUAUUGGGCGUAAAGGGCGCGUAGGCGGCUUUGCGUGUCUUUCGUGAAAUCCCUCGGCUCAACCGGGGAACUGCGUCUGAUACUGGGUGGCUUGAAUCCGGGAGAGGGAUGCGGAAUUCCAGGUGUAGCGGUGAAAUGCGUAGAUAUCUGGAGGAACACCGGUGGCGAAGGCGGCAUCCUGGACCGGCAUUGACGCUGAGGCGCGAAAGCCAGGGGAGCAAACGGG